AGCUCCAAUAGCGUAUAUUAAAGUUGCUGCAGUUAAAAAGCUCGUAGUUGCAUUUCCGAGGCAAGGGAUUAGUCCGACCUUUGGUGGGUAUUUAAUCCUCUUGCCUCGUCCUUGAGUGGUGCUUCUUGGUAUUAAGUUAUCGAGGAGAUAGCCGCUCAUCGUUUACUGUGAGAAAAUUAGAGUGUUCAAAGCAGGCUUAUGCCGUUGAAUAUAUUAGCAUGGAAUAAUAAGAUAGGACCUCGGUACUAUUUUGUUGGUUUGAGAACCAAGGUAAUGAUGAAUAGGGACAGUUGGGGGUAUUCGUAUUCAGUUGUCAGAGGUGAAAUUCUUGGACCGUUUGAAGACUAACUACUGCGAAAGCAUUUGCCAAGAGUGUUUUCA
rnacentral:rRNA from 1 species